rnacentral:misc_RNA from 1 species
GAAAUGCGAUAAGUAGUGUGAAUUGCAGAAUUCAGUGAAUCAUCGAAUCUUUGAACGCACAUUGCGCCCCUCGGUAUUCCGUGGGGCAUGCCUGUUCGAGCGUCAUCUACACCCUCAAGCUCUGCUUGGUGUUGGGCGUCUGUCCCGCCUCCGCGCGCGGACUCGCCCCAAAUGCAUUGGCAGCGGUUCCUUGCCCCCCUCUUUGCGCAGCACAUUGCCAUUCGAGGCGGCGGCGGCCCGCGUCCAACAAGCUCAACCCCCCCGUCUUUGACCUCGGAUCAGGUAGGGAUACCCGCUGAACUUAAGC